rnacentral:rRNA from 1 species
GAUGAACGCUGGCGGCGUGCCUAAUACAUGCAAGUCGAGCGAACAGACGAGGAGCUUGCUCCUCUGACGUUAGCGGCGGACGGGUGAGUAACACGUGGAUAACCUACCUCUAAGACUGGGAUAACUUCGGGAAACCGGAGCUAAUACCGGAUAAUAUAUUGAACCGCAUGGUUCAAUAGUGAAAGACGGUUUUGCUGUCACUUAUAGAUGGAUCCGCGCCGCAUUAGCUAGUUGGUAAGGUAACGGCCUACCAAGGCAACGAUGCGUAGCCGACCUGAGAGGGUGAUCGGCCACACUGGAACUGAGACACGGUCCAGACUCCUACGGGAGGCAGCAGUGGGGAAUCUUGCGCAAUGGGCGAAAGCCUGACGGAGCAACGCCGCGUGAGUGAUGAAGGUCUUCGGAUCGUAAAACUCUGUUAUUAGGGAAGAACAAAUGUGGAAGUAACUAUGCACGUCUUGACGGUACCUAAUCAGAAAGCCACGGCUAACUACGUG